rnacentral:rRNA from 1 species
AUACGUAGGGGGCGAGCGUUGUCCGGAUUUACUGGGCGUAAAGGGUGAGUAGGCGGUUAUAUGUGUCAGAUGUAAAAGGCUAUGGCUUAACCAUAGUUAGCAUUUGAAACUGUAUGACUUGAGUGCAGGAGAGGUAAGUGGAAUUCCUAGUGUAGCGGUGAAAUGCGUAGAUAUUAGGAGGAACACCAGUGGCGAAGGCGACUUACUGGACUGUAACUGACGCUGAGUCACGAAAGCGUGGGUAGCAAACAGGAUUAGAUACCCUGGUAGUCCACGCUGUAAACGAUGAGUGCUAGGUGUUGGACAGCGAUGGUCAGUGCCGCAGUAAACACAUUAAGCACUCCGCCUGGGGAGUACGGACGCAAGACUGAAACUCAAAUGAAUUGACGGGG